CUUCACAUAACCACAUGUUUUAGGUAAAUAUUUCAUUAUGAUCUUUUUGGUGUGCAUCUUUUCAUUUCUUCUUUCAACAAUUUGUACUCCUUUUUUUCCUUGAAAAAUAGGAGAGGUUAAUAAGAUAUUCUGAAAACUGAAAUAGCAAUGCAUAGCCAAUCCUCAUGUGUCACAUGUGCAAACCGCACAAACUUGUAAGUUUCAUAAAACCAAAAGAGAUUUCGAAUUCGGACAUGCUAAAUGAUUUCUACCAAGACUUAAAGAUGUGCUUCCAAGUUCGUUAGAGAAUUUAGCUCAAGGUACAUGCAUGGGACUGAUGGAAGAACAAGAAUGCAAGGGCAUUAUCCUAGCUAGAUUGAUAAGUGAUAAUUGUAUAUCAGGUUUCCUCCUCCGGCAGCUCAACAGUGUCUACCUCCUGGAAGUAUGCUCUCUGCUUCUUGACAAAACCUUCUGGGGUUUGUUGUAGAUGGAUGCCGUGGCACCGGCUGACUGGGACCUUGGGAAGAUGGCACAAGGAGGAGCUGUGGUGACAAAUCAAUCAUUGUAUUGUCAAACUUGAGACCAUGUUACAGUAACUUGCAAGUACAACAUAAUCAUUCCAUUCCUCAUCAAUUCAGUGAGGUAGAAGAGAAGCCUUGGCAGGUUCAACCACAAAGGAGUCAAGAACAGCACAAUGCUACAGAGGAACAGCUUACAGUAUAAUAUGAAGGCCUAAUGGGCAAGUUGACUGAAGUUUGCACACAAAGAGCUAAGAAACAUUGGGCUCUUCAUGAAGGCAGGAACAAAACAAUUUUGUUAUUGCGCUGGGCUAGACUUGGGUUUGUUUUAGAUGGAUGUUGUGGCACCUUCUCAGAAAUGCACCUUGAGAAGAUGGCGCAAGGAGGAGCUGUGAGGACAAGUCAAUCACUGUAUUGAGACUGGAGACCAAGUUACAAUAAGUUGCAGGUUCAACGUAAUCAUUCCAUUUCUCAUCAUUCAGCGAGGUAGAAGAACAGCCUUGGCAGAUUGAACUACAAAGGAAUCAAGAACAGCACGGUGCUACAGAGGAACAGCUUACAGUACAAUAUGAAGGCCUAAUGGGCAAGUUGACUGAAGUUUACACACAAAGAGCUAAGAAACAUUGGGCUCUUCAUAAAGGCAGGAACAAAACAAUUUUGUUAUCGUGCUGUGCUCAAGGGGAGGAAGAAGAGAAUAAUUAACAUUUACUAUAUAUAUGCGUGAAUAUAUGGCCAAAGCGUAUGAUCGAUUGGAAUGGGUA